AAAAGAAGGAAGAGAGUGAGAAAUACGAAAGUGUUUGUAAAAUUUUUGUUUUUCUCUCAAUUUUUCUUUGUUUUCCAGCGAUUUCAAAUAAUUGACAUCAUGAGCAUGACUUGAAGCAGUUCGAAAGGAAGGAGGAGA
rnacentral:ribozyme from 13 species